rnacentral:rRNA from 1 species
AGUGAACGCUGGCGGUAGGCCUAACACAUGCAAGUCGAACGGCAGCACAGUAAGAGCUUGCUCUUACGGGUGGCGAGUGGCGGACGGGUGAGGAAUACAUCGGAAUCUACUUUUUCGUGGGGGAUAACGUAGGGAAACUUACGCUAAUACCGCAUACGACCUACGGGUGAAAGCAGGGGAUCUUCGGACCUUGCGCGAUUGAAUGAGCCGAUGUCGGAUUAGCUAGUUGGCGGGGUAAAGGCCCACCAAGGCGACGAUCCGUAGCUGGUCUGAGAGGAUGAUCAGCCACACUGGAACUGAGACACGGUCCAGACUCCUACGGGAGGCAGCAGUGGGGACUAUUGGACAAUGGGGGCAAGCCUGAUCCAGCCAUACCGCGUGGGUGAAGAAGGCCUUCGGGUUGUAAAGCCCUUUUGUUGGGAAAGAAAAGCAGCAGGUUAAUACCCCGCUGUUCUGACGGUACCCAAAGAAUAAGCACCGGCUAACUUCGUG